CCGAAGCUUGGGAUACAUCUAAUGUAUGGUAGGAGAGCGUUGUAUACGGGGUGAAGUCAGAGCGGAAGCGCUGGUGGACUGUAUACAAGUGAGAAUGCCGGAAUGAGUAGCGAGAAUUAUGUGAGAAUCAUAAUGGCCGAAAGACUAAGGUUUUAGAAGGAAGGUUCGUCCGCUUCUAGUCAGCCGGGAGCUAAGGCGAGGCCGAAAGGCGUAGUCGAUGCACAUACGGUGGAGAUUCCGUAGCCGCCAUUAAUUUAAACAGAGGGACACUUUCAAGGGGCAUGACCCGGGCGUUGGUAGACCCGGGCGUAAGGGACCGAAGAUUAGUAGGGAAGCAUGCUUUAAGGAAGGCGAGAAAAGCUCUGUGUAUAGAAGAUGGCGCCCGUACCGCAAACCGACACAGGUAGUCAGGAAGAGAAUUCUAAGGCCAACGGGAGAAGGGUAGUUAAGGAACUCGGCAAAUUGACCCCGUAACUUCGGAAUAAGGGGUGCUCACGAGAGUGAGCCGCAGUGAAUAGGUCCAGGCGACUGUUUAUCAAAAACACAGCUCUCUGCUAAAUCGAAAGAUGACGUAUAGGGGGUGACACCUGCCCGGUGCUGGAAGGUUAAGAGGAAGGGUGCAAGCUCUGAAUUGAAGCCCCAGUAAACGGCGGCCGUAACUAUAACGGUCCUAAGGUAGCGAAAUUCCUUGUCGGGUAAGUUCCGACCCGCACGAAUGGUGUAACGAUCUGGACACUGUCUCAACUACCCACCCGGCGAAAUUGUAGUACCGGUGAAGAUGCCGGUUACCCGCGGCAAGACGGAAAGACCCCAUGGAGCUUUACUGUAACCUGAUAUUGGGUUUCGGUAUUUUAUGUACAGGAUAGGUGGGAGACUAUGAAACUAAGGCGCCAGCCUUAGCGGAGUCGCCCUUGGGAUACCACUCUUAAAGUACUGAAAUUCUAACCUGCGGCCGUGAAUCCGGUCGGGGGACAUUGUCAGGCGGGCAGUUUGACUGGGGCGGUCGCCUCCAAAAGAGUAACGGAGGCGCUCAAAGGUUCGCUCAGCAUGGUCGGAAACCAUGCCUUAGAGUGUAAACGCAAAAGCGAGCCUAACUGCGAGGCUGACGGGCCGAGCAGUAACGAAAGUUGGAGUUAGUGAUCCGGCGGUAU
rnacentral:rRNA from 1 species